CUUCUUUACUUAGUAAAUACUGAUGGAUCUUAUCAACGUCCAUGAAUGAUAAAUCGUAGAAACCGCCAAUUCGGAAAAAUUGGGUGUUAUCAUAAAGCUUUGUAUCCGCUAAAUUCUUGUAGCCUUGCUAGCCACUUCAUUGUAUUUUAGUGACGUGCAAUGGCACUCCAGAAGCAUUGUGUUUGCAGUACGUACCGUGCAAACAAGACCACUUAGUGAACUGGGGACAACAUGAAAUUACACCAUUAGGGAAGCAAUGAAAAGAGACAUCAACGAAUAAUGGUAACAACAAUGAACAGUAGAGAUUCAAACACCUACAUACAAGAGAUGAUAACUAGACUAAGCUUGAUGAAUCAUGCUCGAGUAACCUAAAAUGUUAAAAAGUACCGAGAAACUCAGUAACCCAGGAUUUGAUUUCUUUGAAACGUCAGGAUUUUUUAUUACUAGCUUUUCUACUUUAGCUCCAAUAGGAGAGGGACUUAUACUCAGAAAAGCCCCAGACCCAGAGUAUCAUUAAAGAGACAUGUUUUUCCUAAUGCUAAGUAAAUCUUCCUACAGAAGAAGAGCACAAUCUUCCUCUCUGAAUAUUUUUUCGAACACACAUAUGGAGAAUUUGAUAUUUUCUCUGCAUAUUCAUCAAAGACUAAACUUUCCGUGAUGAAUGUCCUCACUUCAUACCUAGUAAAUUUUCUCUUUUUUUAAUACCGUCGAGUAAGCAUUUGCACAUCUUUUACACUCACAUGAUACUCAUACAGCCAUGAGAAAGUUCACACGGAAAUGGAAUAAUAAAGAAAUAGAUCUUAAGAAAUUGUUUAAAAAGACAACUCAAUGUGGCUGGUGCAAAAUAGAAAACCAGAAGUACCGGAUGUGCGCAAGGAAAAGGAAAAGGAAAAGGCAAAAGCUAAUUAUAUUCAUAGAUUCCUCCAGUUUUUCAUUUAACUGUUCCUUUACUUGAUUCAAAAGUUACAAUUACAAUUUCUCAUUGUUUUUCUUUGUCUAGCUAGUAAUAUGAGUUGAGCUUAUAAAUCAAUCCCUUAAAUUUGCUUACCUUUUAGAAAGAGGGUAGUAAAAUAUCAAUGGACUGUACGUUUAGGAGACCACUUUUUAAAGAGAAGUUGAUAAGGACAUCGAUACAAAAAAAGUUAGGAGUAUUAAUUUCUCAGUCAAUGUUUUGUAAGUUAUACGAGAACGACUUUCAGCAAUAACAAACCAACAACAAUAACAACUAUUCAAUCCUAAUCUAGUAAGGAUCAGCUAUACUGGAGUAACCUCAAUUAUCAACCUUUUGUUCUUUUUUUUGAGGAAAUGAUUGUGAUUCAACAAACUCUUACUUUUCUUAUCUUACUGAGGAGUGAGGGCAGACAUGCCCAGCAUCCGAAUUGUUACGAAUUGAGCUAUUACAUUCUGAAUAAAUAAAGUGCAAAUUCCAAGAAAUGAGGAGAAAUCCCAAAACUCGAUUUCUAUUAUGUUUUGUAUUGAUCCCGGUACAGAGGCAUCACCAAAUCAUCCUAAGACUAGAUAAAACUUUCACAAAAACCUUUCUCAGGCAAACAUUUUGUCGAACAGCUAACGCGCAUGUAUCAAUCAGGAUCCAAAUACUCAAACACUAAAACUUUAAGCUACGAUGUUUAUUCUAAAUUCAGACCCAUAAAAAUCUUCUUCUUUUUUUAUCAGACCAAUUGGUUAUCGUUGUUCGCUCUCUGCCUCAGCCUGUGCAUACACAUACAUUUAAGCUACAACCAUGAGAAGGCUUCACCAAGAAGGAGAAAUGAAGAAAUAUUUCUUACAAAAUUGAUAAUUGUCACAGAUAGAGGACUCCAACAGUCGACAGGUGCGGUGUACAAGCCAAAGAAAAGC
rnacentral:lncRNA from 1 species